rnacentral:rRNA from 1 species
GACGAACGCUGGCGGCGUGCUUAACACAUGCAAGUCGAACGGAAAGGCGCUGCUUUGGUGGGGUGCUCGAGUGGCGAACGGGUGAGUAACACGUGAGUAACCUGCCCUUGACUGUGGGAUAACUUCCGGAAGCUGGGGCUAAUACCGGAAAGGAGCUCCUGCUGCAGGGUGGGGGUUGGAAAGUUUCGGCGGUUGGGGAUGGACUCUGGGCUUAUGAGCUUGUUGGGGGGGAAGUGGCAUCCCAGGGCUUUGAAGGGUAGGCGGCCUGAGAGGGGCACCGGCCCCCAUGCGCCUGAGAGACGCCGCAGACUCCUACGUGAGGCAGCAGUGGGGAAUAUUGCACAGUGGUCCGGAGUCUGAUGCAGCAGCGCCGCGUUUGGGAUGACGUCCUUCGCGUUGUGAACCGCUUUCGCCUGUUACGAAGCGUGAGUGACGGUAAUGGGUAAAGAAGCACCGGCUAACUACGUG